UGUGACAUACCUAAAACGUUGCUUCGGCGGGAACAGACGGCCCUGUAACAACGGGCCGCCCCCGCCAGAGGACCCCUAACUCUGUUUUUAUAAUGUUUUUCUGAGUAAACAAGCAAAUAAAUUAAAACUUUCAACAACGGAUCUCUUGGCUCUGGCAUCGAUGAAGAACGCAGCGAAAUGCGAUAAGUAAUGUGAAUUGCAGAAUUCAGUGAAUCAUCGAAUCUUUGAACGCACAUUGCGCCCGCCAGUAUUCUGGCGGGCAUGCCUGUUCGAGCGUCAUUACAACCCUCAGGCCCCCGGGCCUGGCGUUGGGGAUCGGCGGAAGCCCCCUGUGGGCACACGCCGUCCCUCAAAUACAGUGGCGGUCCCGCCGCAGCUUCCAUUGCGUAGUAGCUAACACCUCGCAACUGGAGAGCGGCGCGGCCAUGCCGUAAAACACCCAACUUCUGAAUGUUGACCUCGAAUCAGGUAGGAAUACCCGCUGAACUU
rnacentral:rRNA from 1 species